UAAGCAUUUUGCCGGCUUUAGUUCAAAGCAAAUGUAAUAUCACCGUGAAAGCUCGAUGCAAAGCCUAGCAGAAUAAUAGAAUAGAAUGGAGGAAAACCCCCGAGGGUGGAUCCAUGGCGACGAGACCGCCAAGGCGAUGCUCUCUAGGAUUCUCACGGAGCGCCCCUUCCUCUUCCUCCCUCCCCUCCACCGCGUCCCCCUCCGCGUCGGCAACGUCGUCGAGAUCGCCGGCCCUUCCCCCUCCGCCAAAUCCCAAAUCUUGUUGCACGCCGCCGUCAACUGCAUCCUUCCCGAGGAGUGGAAGGGGAUCCGUUUUGGAGGGUUGGGGCGAAUGGUGAUGUACUUUGAUCUGGAUUGCCGCUUCGAUGUGCUUCGGCUCUCCCAGAUCUUGAAGCAUCGUAUAAUGGAAGCUUACAGAUCAACCAACAAUACCUAUUGGAAAGAAAAGGGAGAACAUCAGAAGAAUGAUGCCCCGACUACACACAUGUACCUAUGUGAUGAUGAAUUAUUCUUAGAUUGCAUGAGACGCUUCUUGUAUAUCCGUUGUUACAACAGCUUUGAAUUUUUGGCUGCUCUCAAGGCAAUGCAUUCUCACUCACAAAGGGAAAGUGAAGCUCUUGGUGUCAGUGUCCAUUUCCUUAUGAUAGACAGCAUUGGUGCUUUUUAUUGGAUGGAUCGAGCUUGUCAACCCAUGCCUAUAGGUGGCAGUAAAAGGAAGAAUGUAUCCCUUCAAAGUUUGGCAGAAGCUGUUGUUCAAGAGAUCUGCAAGCUCUUACAAAUGCAACCUGUGUUGGUUUUAGCUACAAAAGCAACAAUUUUUGGAGCUGGAACCUCAGGAAAUGAUGCACAGAGGUUAGCUCAUGAUGUAAAUUUGCCCAUUUUGAGGUCCACUUCUAGUACUAGGGCAUUUGGAAAAUGGUGUUCAGAGGGGAAAAUGGACUCGAGAACUUCAAGUAGGGAAGGGGAAAAGCUCAUGUACCGUGAAUACAUGCCUUCAUCAUGGCAGUCAUUUGUUACGCACAGGGUACACUUGCAAGCUUUAGAUGAAAUUAUAUCUGGUGGGGAAUAUGGAACACUUCUUACGUAUGCAUCUCAAUGGGUGCAGCCUCCAUUGAAUAUAAAGGAUAAAUUUGCCAUUAGAGAUGACGGUAUCUUCUUGAUAACAUGAAGCUACUUUGUGAGAAUGUGCAACUAAGUUCUAUUAUUUGCUGCUUGACCUCGGAUUUGUACAGAAGAUAUGAUGAUGUGGAGAAAAUCAGAGAGGAUAAUGAUGAUUCCAGUCAUACUGCAUACCACUAUAAACAUGAUGGAAUCAAUAAGAUGAUACCAUUGCUGCUGAAUGUGAGGAUAUAUUCUUUACUCUUGUUCUACCCAUUUUUGUCUUUGUUAACUGGAAGUUAUUUCAUGAUGUUCAAAAACUUGUGGCUGCACCACAGAAACAGGUCAUACAUAUGAACAUUAAGCCUCAACUGCGAAUGUUUAGCCGUGUUGGGUUUGAGAGUUCGGGAUAGCUGCAGGCUUCGUAAUAUGGUCGAGGGCUAAGUUUAUUGAUGGUUAGCAUUGCAGGUUGCCUCUCAAUUCAAGCAUGACAAAGCUGGCAGGCUUUACAGGUCCUCUUUUGACUCAUUUCUUAUUCCUUUUUAAUUUAUCAUCCUUCACCUCAUUUUAGGCAAGUGAUAAUAGCCAAAGAUGCAUUAGCUAGCUUACUUUAAUCCAUUAUAACUUGUAAGACCAUGAUCUAUGAUUUCUAGAAGGAUUAGCAGACUUACAUUUAAAGAGGAAUUUAAUAUGAAAAGAGUAUUCCAAAAAUGUUAAUAAUAACCAAAGCCACAUAGUUUCAAGAAAGGUGUGAUAUGCAAACAGAUUAGGCAUACCACCUUAUAAGUAUGUUUUCUCUUUUGUUGCAGAAGAUAUGCAAACAGGAACUGUUAACAUUUGGAUUCUCUUUCGUUUGGAUAACACCGCUCGCUUGUGAUAUGCAAACAGAUUAGGCACCUGAGAUGGUAGGUUUGUUUAGGGUACAAAAAGAUCCAAGACCUUUUGUUGUUUAUAAACAUAGACCGGCAAACUUAGGUUGAGAUUGUGCCAACCACAACCAAAAAAGUUAGGCAGUAUGGUCUAUGUUGCCCCUAGCUGGUCUUAACACAUCCAAAUUGACUGCAUUUGAGGUGUGACCAUUGAAUUUGGCCUUUCUGAUCUACCUGACAAUUUGGUACAUGGUGUGGUCAACCAAGACACCCUGGCCAUCAUAGAAAGAAAAAUGUUAUCAGUCACUACCAAUUAAGCAUUAUGAAAUUUAUUUGAGUUUGGUGGCUGUGCCAAUCAAAGACUAGAAUUUUUUUUUGUUUGUUUUUUUAAGAGAGAAAAAAGGCCAAAGAAUAUACAGAGAGAUAACCAAUGGGCACCCUCCCUUGAAAUUUCUAUUGCUCUAAAUUCAUCACCUCCGGAUCUUCAAGUUGUAUAAUUGGAUUCCUUAUGCUGGAUCUCCUCAUUUUAUAGACAACCUCUAAAUCCAUCACCCUCGGAUCCUCUAGUUGUAUAAUUGGAUUCUUUAUGCCGGAUCUCCUUAUUUAUUUAUGAGAAAUUCUUUGUGCAUCACCUGCAGAAUAGAACAUUCGACGUGGAGUGCAUCGCUUUCUUCGAUUGGACCAUGUAACCAUUGCUUCUCAAUGUAUAUUUAAUAUUUGUAGGUUGGUAUUUUUGUUUAAAAAUUUUAUGUGACGAAAAUAUCUUUUAUAAUUUUCUGAUAUCUUGUAUGACUUUCUGUCAUAUGAUUUUCUGUGAAUAUAUAUGAUUUCCUGUCAUGUGAUUUCAUGUGAUUUCGUGUGAAUAUAUAUGAUUUUCUGUGAAUAUAUAUAUUUUUUUGUGAAUAUAUAUGACUUUCUGUCAACAUAUAUGACUUUUUGUGAAUAUAUAUAUGUUCAAAAAAAUUAUAUAUAUUUACAGAAAGUCAUAUAUGUUCACAGAAAAUCAUAUAUAUUUACAGAAAGUUAUAUAUGUUCAUAAGAAGUCAUAGAAAAUUAUAUAUAUUCACAGAAAAUUAUAGAAAGUCAUAUACAUUCACAGGAAGUCAUUCAAAGUAUCAAAAAGUUAUAAAGGAUUUUUUAUGAAGAGAUGUCAUAAUUUUAGAUAGGAGUAUUUUUGUUAUAUAAAAUUUUUUAACGAAAAUAUCAAUCUGUAGGUAUUAAAUAUAUGUUGAAAAGUGAUGGUUACGUGGUCCCAUCGAAAAAAUGAUGUAUUUCAUGUUGGAUUUUUUAUACUGCAGGUGGUGCACAAAAAAUUACUCUUUAUUUAUUGAAGGUUGUCAGAAGACAACUUGGGCAUGACGACCAACUCAAAAUAAAAGUAACUAAAGCACCAUUAGAACUAUAGAAGCAAAGGGGCGAGCUAUAAACCCGGUAUUGGGUAAUUGAACGAAUAGCUGUUAUAUAAUUAGAUUGUGCUUGACCUAGAUUCAUAUAUUUUGUUAAAUUGUUAAGAGUUCUAUGGAUUUGUCAUGAGGUGGUACCCAUAUAAAUAUUUAGUAGCGUCACCUGGUGGAUUUGUGUGGUUCAGUUUGAUCCUCGGUGAUAUUUAUGGAGGGAACAUUGGCAGGUGAUGCCGGAAAGCUCGUAAACUUUCCUGAGGCACCAUAAAAACACAAUACUCAGGUGUCUCAGACAGAACAACAAACCAGAAAAGAAAAAAGAGAAUUAUUUAUAAUUUUUUUAUUGAUUAAUAAUUUAAUUAUAGAUGCAAGAUUGGAUAUUUGUAAUAGAAGGGAGAACAUGAACAUCAACUUCUUUUCAUUGCUAGCAUCCCAUGCAUGGGGCUAUGCAUUCACCUCAUUCGCAAGAUAUGCAUUAUUUUCUUGGAGCCACAACAGGCAUUCAUCCUUGAAGAAGGAUUCGCCACUCGAACCUCAUGCAUGAGGAAGCAAGAUAUCCAUUUCAUCAACAAUAUGCAAGCUACUUCUUGCAAUAUGGAGCAAUUUAGACCCUAGAAAAUCUAUAGGAGCCAACAUGUAGAUAUUCUCUUGUUUAUAGUUCAAUUUGGAUUGCUUAGAACAAAAAAGUUAUUUGUUUUGUAAUCAAAAUUGAAAUGAAAAUCGGAAUGACUUGAAAUCGAAAUAGUCAAAUCAUUCAAAGCGUUUGGUUCAUUAUUAGAAUUGGAAUGAAAAUUUAAAUUUAUAAAAGAGAGUAGGGAUUGAAUUCUGUAUAGAUUGAGUCAUUUUCAUUCCAUCCUGAAAUCGAAAUCGGAAUGAGAUUUUUUUCAAUCAAAUGAUUGGAACGAGAGCCAUCCAUUCUGAUUUCAGAUUUUCACUCUUUUCAACCAAACACUUUCAAAAUUUCUAGAGUAGGGCGACCCAUACACUCUUACGGGUAUGGUUGGCCUAGUUGUUGUCUAAUAUUUUUUUAUUUUUUGAAGGGAGCAAAAAUAUUUUAUCCACUAUUUGUCUUUUAUUUAUUAUUGCUCUACGAAGCCUACUUCUAAACGCUUGAUCAAGGUGAUUGUGAUUGAGCGGUUGAGGCAACUGCUUCCAUGACCAGGCACCAAACCCAUCCCAUCAACUCAUUAUUUCGCGAGCGGUAUGCACACUUUUUUCAAGCCAUUAGAAUAGUACAUUUGCGGCGGUCAAUCUUGUGUACAUAAUUUUAAGAUAAACAUUAGGUCAUUUCAUUUUGAAUUUUUCAUGAGGUUUUGUAUGUAUGUUUGUAUGCGCUGGUGCUUAAAACCCAAUUUGACUGGUGGCUAAGCUGAUGAGGAAUAAUGCUCCACUUGAUUGGAUUGAAGAAACAUUGUACUAUAUUGGAGUUGAUCUGCAAUCAAUUAAAAAAAAAAAAAAAAAA